UACGUAGGGUGCGAGCGUUAAUCGGAAUUACUGGGCGUAAAGCGUGCGCAGGCGGUUUUAUAAGCCAUAUGUGAAAGCCCCGGGCUCAACCUGGGAAUGGCAUUUGGGACUGUAAGGCUGGAGUAUGGCAGAGGAGACUAGAAUUCCUGGUGUAGCAGUGAAAUGCGUAGAUAUCAGGAGGAAUACCGAUGGCGAAGGCAGGUCUCUGGGCCACUACUGACGCUGAGAAGCGAAAGCAUGGGGAGCGAACAGG
rnacentral:rRNA from 1 species